rnacentral:rRNA from 1 species
UACGGAGGGUGCAAGCGUUAUCCGGAAUUACUGGGUUUAAAGGGUGCGUAGGCGGCUUAGUAAGUCAGGGGUGAAAGGUCACGGCUCAACCGUGGAAUUGCCUUUGAUACUGCUGAGCUUGAAUCAGGAUGAGGUUGGCAGAAUGUGGCAUGUAGCGGUGAAAUGCAUAGAUAUGCCAUAGAACACCGAUUGCGAAGGCAGCUGGCUAGACCUUGAUUGACGAUGAGGCACGAAAGCGUGGGGAGCGAACAGG